CCUACGGGUGGCAGCAGUGAGGAAUAUUGGUCAAUGGCCGAGAGGCUGAACCAGCCAAGUCGCGUGAGGGAAGACGGCCCUACGGGUUGUAAACCUCUUUUGUCGGGGAGCAAAGCGAGUCACGUGUGACUCAUUGAGAGUACCCGAAGAAAAAGCAUCGGCUAACUCCGUGCCAGCAGCCGCGGUAAUACGGAGGAUGCGAGCGUUAUCCGGAUUUAGUGGGUUUAAAGGGUGCGCAGGCGGAGGUGCAAGUCAGCGGUAAAAUUGCGGGGCUCAACCCCGUACUGCCGUUGAAACUGCGUCCCUGGAGUGCGCGAGAAGUAUGCGGAAUGCGUGGUGUAGCGGUGAAAUGCAUAGAUAUUAGGAGGAACACCAGUGGCGAAGGCGGUCUGCUGGACAGCAACUGACGGUGAGGCGCGAAAGCGUGGGGAGCAAACAGGAUUAGAUACCCCUGUAGUC
rnacentral:rRNA from 1 species